GGAGAGGUCGCAUAGUGGCCUAGUGCGCACGCUUGGAAAGCGUGUAAACCUGUAAGGGUUUCGGGGGUUCGAAUCCCCCCCUCUCCGCCA
rnacentral:tRNA from 3 species